rnacentral:rRNA from 1 species
AUACGUAGGGUGCGAGCGUUGUCCGGAAUUACUGGGCGUAAAGAGCCCGUAGGUGGUUUGUCGCGUCGUCUGUGAAAUUCCGGGGCUUAACUCCGGGCGUGCAGGCGAUACGGGCAAUACUUGAGUGCUGUAGGGGAGACUGGAAUUCCUGGUGUAGCGGUGAAAUGCGCAGAUAUCAGGAGGAACACCAAUGGCGAAGGCAGGUCUCUGGGCAGUAACUGACGCUGAGGAGCGAAAGCAUGGGUAGCGAACAGGAUUAGAUACCCUGGUAGUCCAUGCCGUAAACGGUGGGCGCUAGGUGUAGGGGUCUUCCACGACUUCUGUGCCGUAGCUAACGCAUUAAGCGCCCCGCCUGGGGAGUACGGCCGCAAGGCUAAA